rnacentral:lncRNA from 1 species
UUUUCCUCUACUAUUGGCCGAGAAAAUAGGCAAACAACCGUCUCUCCUAGUCUCCUCUCUACUUGUAUUCUCUCUCUUUUCUCUCUCUCUCUCUCUCACUAAAUACUUCAAUAGUUCAAUUCGCAGCAGCAACAUAGAGUUUUAAUCUCUCUUCGUUUCAACAACAUAGUAUUCAUGUUCGCAGCAGCAACACCGUUUUUCUCCGUUUCUCAGAGCAGCAAGGUUAGAUUUUUAAGCUCUUCUCCUUUUCUCACUCUAUCAUUUGUUUGUGUUGUGAUUGUUUGAUUUUUUUUCUUCUUUGUCAUCUUUAACACGACCCUAUAGGUUAACUAGAUAAUCCCAAAUUCUACCUAUACAUAGCAAUUUAAUAACUUCAAUUGUUGAAUUCAACGAUAAUCUAUGAGGAAUUUUGUCAAACAUUUGAUGGUGAUAAAUAAUUUUAGUAAUUAUCUACUUAAAGGGGAUGAUAUUAAUCCAUAGUUUGAAGAGAUUUCAAUUCAAAGAUGAGAAUAGAUGUUCCCCAAUAGGUACUGGACGAUGUGUUUUCUGGUAAAAAAAAACCCGCAACAAUUUUGAGAACACUUGUACACGUAGAUUGAACCAAAAUACAAGCUUUAGUAAUGAUAAAUGUUAGAGCCUAAUAAACAGAAUUAAUACUCGUAGAUAUGGUGAUGUACCUACUGGUAACCUAGAUUUCAAGAGCACUUAUUUUCACCAUUGCUAACCAUUGUUUGUGUGUGGUGUUUUGUUCCGUAAGUAAAUUAUUUGUAUCUAGAAAAAGGAGCAGAGACAACUAGGCCAGCAAAAAAAAUUAUGUCUAUUAAAAACUAGAAUUAAAAUUACCACCUACAGUCACCUGAUAAGGCUGCCAUGGCUAGCCAUAACAUGUAGUCAUUCUCUAGCAUGUUAAAUUUUCUGAUGGUGGAGUUCUCUAAAGCAUCCCUUUUCAGCUUUUCUUCCAGUACUUUCUACUCUUUAUUUGUUCUCAGAUAUGAUUAAAUGACGCUUGAUUUAUUCCUAGUAUAGUCUUAGUAAUUGCAGCAAGUUCCUUUCUUUGAAUACUAUUGAUCAUUGUAGUUUUUAUAUCAGUAUAUAUAGAUACAGGUAGAAAUACUGCAGAUCAUGCACUUUAGUUUGUAAUUUUAAGAUGAAAUCUUCUGUUGGAUUUUUAUAUUAUUUGUUACGAAGAAUUUGAUCGAACAACACAUCCAUUGCUUGUAUAGUUUUAGCAUUUACAUUUUUUUUUCCUUAUUAUUGCCUAUUUUAUAUCAUCAGUAGUGGAGAAUACUGGUGUAUGCUUUGCUGUUUUUGAGAUGAAAACAUCUGUUGGAUUAUAUUUCUUUAAGGCGUGAAGUUUAUAGUAGCUGAGAUCCAGUCCAUUGCUUCCUACAACUAAACCCCUCUUACAAUGCUUUGAGUGGAGGACAUUAAGUGUAUUUGCUGAUGUAGCCAGCUGUUGUUUAUGAUGUUAGACUGUUAGUGCCCAUUUUUUUAUUUAUUAUUUGCUAAUUUUGGCAAGGUUUGAUAUUUCUCAAACCAUGGUAUGCACGAGUAAACCCCCACAGGAUACCAAACCCAGCUGAAAAACUGUUCACCCUAUUCAACUUCUUGUUUGUUUCAGUUGUUGAUGCACAAUCCAAUUGCAUCACCAAUGCAUACACAUCUAACAGCCAGUAGAAGGUCCCCAUAGUAACCUGCAAUCCCUUAGCAAACUUGUCAGAGUUUUCUAACUGUUGUUGCUUUUAGCCUUCCAGUUGGUUGACAGCCAGCAGAAGGUCCAUUGCACCCCCCUUCAACCCUUUGUUACAGUGACUACGUAGUCUAGUAUCAAUUCAGUAACACUGCAGCCCCUUAACAGUUGGAAUCCACCUUUGGGAACCUCCAGCCAUGCCCAUACAGGUAACAUUGUGGCUUUGGGUGAUAAAGGUAACAUUGUGGCUAAAGAAACUGUAUUUGAGAGGAUGGGAGUAGACAAUAAACUUCACUCUGUUCCUUUGGAAGAAGCAAAUGUAUGUGUAUCGAUUCAUUCCAUUGUUGAAAAAAAACAUAAAAAGCGUCUUCCAAUACCUGUUAAUGAGGUUAUCAUGACAAUUGCAAGUGUUAUUGAUACAUUUGUUGCUUGGCAGGAGUGGGUGAUAAUAGGAUAUAAGAACUUGAAUAUUUGCGAAAAGAAUGAGGUAAACUACUAUCUUUAAUGAGUUAAUAUUACCAAAUUUACAAGUAUUGAUUUAGUAUUACCUUAUUAUUGUUUUAGGUAGUUGAUGUUGGAGAAAAUGCAAGGGCUGAAACUUUUGAAACUGAAUUGAAUGAUUUUGGUGAAAUGAUAGAUGAUAUUAUGUAUGAUCCUAUGCAUCAAGAACAGAUGCUUUCAAUGGAUAGAGGUGUUUUUGAGCGUGAAGUUGAUUUUUAUAUUGCACUGGAUGAAAUAAAGGAUGUAUGCAAGAAUGACAAGUUAAAUUGCCAUGUUAUAGUUGCAUAUAUGAGGUUAGAAAUUGCUUUUGAUAGCCGAUUUGUUACUCAUGUGAAAUGUUAUUUAUCAUAACUAUUUCUUUUGUGUAAUUUGUUUUAGAUAUUUGUACGAGAC